CAGAGCUCAGAUGAGACCCAAGUCCAGGGUGCAGCCUGGAAGUCUGAUUCCAGAGGAACAAAGAGACAAAUACCAACGUGGAUUCUGGCAGAGGGGAACAAUGCAGGUGCCCAGUGAGUAAAACUGGGGCACAAGAGGAAGGUUUAAUUACCGGAAAAAGAUAGCAGAUAUACUGCCCCAUGGUUCAGAGACACAGAUACAGACCCACUUCAUGGCAGGAUGCUUACCUUGGAUGCUUACAUUUGGUGUCAAGAUGAAGGGGGGGCCUUUCCUGGAUGU
rnacentral:lncRNA from 1 species